AGAGUUUGAUCCUGGCUCAGGACGAACGCUGGCGGCGUGCCUAACACAUGCAAGUCGAGCGGAGACAGUGAGUAGCUUGCUAUGAGCUGUUUUAGCGGCGGACGGGUGAGUAACGCGUGAGCAACCUUUCCCAGACAGGGGAAUAACACACCGAAAGGUGUACUAAUACCGCAUAAGACCACGGUUUCACAUGGAACUGAGGUAAAAGAUUUAUCGGUUUGGGGUGGGCUCGCGUCCGAUUAGGUAGUUGGUGAGGUAACGGCCCACCAAGCCGACGAUCGGUAGCCGACCUGAGAGGGUGAUCGGCCACAUUGGGACUGAGACACGGCCCAAACUCCUACGGGAGGCAGCAGUGGGGAAUAUUGCACAAUGGGGGAAACCCUGAUGCAGCGACGCCGCGUGAGCGAAGAAGUAUUUCGGUAUGUAAAGCUCUAUCAGCAGGGAAGAAAAUGACGGUACCUGACUAAGAAGCCCCGGCUAACUACGUGCCAGCAGCCGCGGUAAUACGUAGGGGGCAAGCGUUGUCCGGAAUAAUUGGGCGUAAAGGGCGCGUAGGCGGCUCGGUAAGUCUGGAGUGAAAGUCCUGCUUUUAAGGUGGGAAUUGCUUUGGAUACUGUCGGGCUUGAGUGCAGGAGAGGUUAGUGGAAUUCCCAGUGUAGCGGUGAAAUGCGUAGAGAUUGGGAGGAACACCAGUGGCGAAGGCGACUAACUGGACUGUAACUGACGCUGAGGCGCGAAAGUGUGGGGAGCAAACAGGAUUAGAUACCCUGGUAGUCCACACU
rnacentral:rRNA from 1 species